rfam:Oryza meridionalis cultivar OR44 (W2112) chromosome 6, whole genome shotgun sequence.
UUUAUGUGCAACCAUAAGUUUUCUUGCCUAACUUUGAUCAUAUGUCUUAUUUAUUUUUUUUAUAAUUAAUAUUUUUAUUGCUAUAAGAUAAUAAAACAUGAAUAGUAUUUUAUGUGCGACUUAUGUUUUUAAAUUUUUUUAAAAUAUUUUUAAAUAAGACGGACGGUCAAAGUUGGACAUAGAAAAAUAUAAUUGUACUUAUA